GCAUGCAGUCGAGCGGUAAGCUAACUUCGGUUAGCCUAGAGCGGCGGACGGGUGAGUAACACGUGGAUAAUCUACCCCCUUGUUUGGGAUAGCCUGUGGAAACAUAGGGUAAUACCAAAUAAUACUCUUUUAUCAUAAGAUAAGAGAAGGAAAGGCGCCUCAAAGCGUCGCAAGAGGAUGAGUCUGCGUCCCAUUAGCUAGACGGCAGGGUAAAAGCCUACCGUGGCAAUGAUGGGUAGCCGGCCUGAGAGGGUGAUCGGCCACAUUGGAACUGAGAUACGGUCCAGACUCCUACGGGGGGCAGCAGCUAAGAAUCUUCCGCAAUGGACGAAAGUCUGACGGAGCGACGCCGCGUGAACGAUGAAGGCCGUGAGGUUGUAAAGUUCUUUUCGGGAGGAGGAAUAAUGUUUGUAGGAAAUGACAAGCAGAUGACGUGAAUCCCGGAAUAAGCCCCGGCUAACUACGUGCCAGCAGCCGCGGUAACACGUAGGGGGCAAGCGUUGUUCGGAAUCAUUGGGCGUAAAGGGCGUGCAGGCGGUGUUGCAAGUCUGGCGUGAAAGAUCUCGGCUUAACCGAGGGAACGCGCUGGAAACUGUAACACUAGAGUACAGGAGGGGACAUUGGAAUUCCAGGUGUAGGGGUGAAAUCUGUAGAUAUCUGGAAGAACACCGGUGGCGAAGGCGAAUGUCUGGCCAUGUACUGACGCUGAGACGCGAAGGUGCGGGGAGCAAACAGGUUUAGAUACCCUGGUAGUCCGCACAGUAAACGAUGUACACUAGG
rnacentral:rRNA from 1 species